AGAACAGAGAUACCAGAGAGGCCUAGAAAGGAGUGAUAGCUGGGGUUCUUUUGACCUGAGGGCUGCUAUUGUAUAUCACACUAAAGAAAUGGAAUCUAUAUGGAAUUUGCAGAAGCAAGAUCCCAAAAGGAUAAUCACUUACAAUGAAGCCAUGGGUAGUCCGGAUCAAUGAAGGACCAGACUGCCUAUUUGUAACCUUUGUGCAGCAUUAGAGCCACCAUUCAUGUGGGACACAAGGCUUUCAUGCUCCUAGAUCUUCAACGCAGCAGAGGAACCAUAAGUAGAAUCACAGGAUAAUAUAUACAAAUAUAUAUAUAUACACAUAUAUAUAUAGUUAUUUUAAAAAAGGCAACUGAGAGUAAUUAGACUUCUUAAGGAAUCAAAUUUAUUUCAAGAG
rnacentral:lncRNA from 1 species